UACGAAGGGGGCUAGCGUUGCUCGGAAUCACUGGGCGUAAAGGGUGCGUAGGCGGUUCUUUAAGUCAGGGGUGAAAUCCUGGAGCUCAACUCCAGAACUGCCUUUGAUACUGAAGAUCUUGAGUUCGGGAGAGGUGAGUGGAACUGCGAGUGUAGAGGUGAAAUUCGUAGAUAUUCGCAAGAACACCAGUGGCGAAGGCGGCUCACUGGCCCAAUACUGACGCUGAGGCACGAAAGCGUGGGGAGCAAACAGG
rnacentral:rRNA from 1 species